GAUGAAGAACGCAGCAAAAUGCGAUAACUAAUGUGAAUUGCAGAAUUCCGUGAAUCAUCGAGUCUUUGAACGCACAUUGCGCCCCCUGGUAUUCCGGGGGGCAUGCCUGUCCGAGCGUCAUUGCUGCCCAUCAAGCACGGCUUGUGUGUUGGGUCCUCGUCCCCCCCGGGGGACGUGCCCGAAAGGCAGCGGCGGCACCGCGUCCGGUCCUCGAGCGUAUGGGGCUUUGUCACCCGCUCUGCAGGCCCGGCCGGCGCUGGCCGACGCGAAAGCAACCAUUUUUUCUCCAGGUUGACCUCGGAUCAGGUAGGGAUACCCGCUGAACUUAAGCAUAUCAAUAAGCGGAGGA
rnacentral:misc_RNA from 1 species